UCAAAUAAAUAAAUAAAACAGUUAAAAAAGUACUGUUAAUUAAGAAUGAAUCAAAGGCUAGAGUGAAGUUUAUCAAGCACAAUCACAACAACUGGUCAAAGGCACCAAGAAGAUCUAUUAAGGCCAUAACUUUUUUGAAAAACGUAAAAAAUGGUAAACCUGAUUGAGUUUGGAUUGGUAAACUGGACUGAUGUGUAAACUGAUGCUUUAAUGAGUUUUUAUGUAAACUAACAGAAACAGGAACACUGCAUGGAACUGCUAAUGGCACAUAAGAAUUUCUGUCGAAUAAGAAAAACUAACUGCCAUGUAUGAAGUUAUUUAUUUACAGGAACAGAACAGGGAACGACAGAAGGAAACUGUUUUGGAAGAUCUUCCUGCUGCUGUUGCUGCUGCUGAUGAUGCAAAUAAAGAUGAGUGAAAGCCUAGAGGAGUUCAUCGAAGCUGCCGGAGCUCAUAUCAGAUGCACACGGGGAAAGAGGGAAGAUGAUUAUGGUCAAGGGACACCUUGGUAUCCAAUGGCAAGAGAUGCAGAAGAGCAGACUCUACUGGCGGUUUAAAAACCCACUGUCUGCUCCAACACCAGACAGUACUCAGAAGUACCCCUGGCGACGUGGGAUAAAACAUCAUGGCUCUUUUACAGGCGCCGAGAAUAUUCUACAACUAUAUGAUUUAUAUGAAAUGAUGAUUAAUCAAGUAUAUAUGAUGUAUACCCACAACUGUGAGCAAGGCUGACAAGCAUAUGUUUUUAACCUGACUAAUGAUUAUUGUGUGUUGAACUCCCCAAAAAGGAAGUAUUCAGUUAGGGAGAGCGGGAUCUUUUACUCCUUCUAAAGUCAAAAGUAGAGGGAGAUGUUUGGUUCUGUUUCUCCUCUGAAGUGCGGCGGAAGGAUGCUGACAAUUGAUAAGGAUGUAGAUGGGCAACUUUUUGGUUGCACAAGUAUGUUAAGACUUUGCAAGUGUUGGAUUCUUAAGUUGCACUUCAGCGAGGGAUUUAGGAAAAGGACUUUUUUGAUUAAGUCCUUAAGGGGGGAUUUAUUUAGGAGAAUUAUAGAGGAACUUUUAUUAUGUAAUCACUAUAUAAUCACUGUAUAAUCUGCCACUAUUAAAAUACACUGUUAAAACAUAUAGAAAUACAUUCAAGUGAUGCAGAGCAAAACACACAGAAGUAAACAGCGGUGAAGUAAGACCAUUCAGACAGCAUAUGCAACAUGUAUUGAUGUAUUGACCAUGACAAAAACAACUUAAAAACAACUUUGCUCAACCUGCAUGGCAAAAGCAUGCAUAGGGAGAAUCAUUUAAAAAGUGUUGAAAUAUGACCUUUAAGAUGUGCAAAAACAGAAAAACAUACAGCCAUCAAUAUAAAGGCUAGAAUCCUAUUGGAGCCUGGAAAUAACGUGAUGCUCAUGCUACACCACUGUUUCAUGAUGACUAUAGGAAAAACAUGUAUAUAAACUGUGGGUUUUGGAACAUUUGUAGGAGAGAGAUCGAUCGACCAACUCUGCUGUAACAAUAAACUGCUUCAACUUGA